GUGGGGAAUAUUGGGCAAUGGGGGAAACCCUGACCCAGCGACGCCGCGUGAGGGAAGAAGGCCUUAGGGUCGUAAACCUCUGUUGUGUGGGAAGAAGAGCGUGACGGUACCACACGAGGAAGUCCCGGCUAACUACGUGCCAGCAGCCGCGGUAAUACGUAGGGGACGAGCGUUGUCCGGAUUUACUGGGCGUAAAGGGCGCGUAGGCGGUCAUUUAAGUCAGCUGUGAAAUGGUUUGGCUUAACCGGAUCAUGCGGUUGAAACUGGAUGACUGGAGUGCUGGAGAGGCUAGUGGAAUUCCCAGUGUAGCGGUGAAAUGCGUAGAUAUUGGGAAGAACACCGGUGGCGAAGGCGACUUGCUGGCCAGCAACUGACGCUGAGGCGCGAAAGCCAGGGGAGCAAACGGGAUUAGAUACCCGUGUAGUCC
rnacentral:rRNA from 1 species